rnacentral:rRNA from 1 species
UACGUAGGGUGCAAGCGUUGUCCGGAAUUAUUGGGCGUAAAGAGCUCGUAGGCGGUUUGUCGCGUCGGCUGUGAAAGCCCGGAGCUCAACUCCGGGUCUGCAGUCGAUACGGGCAGACUAGAGUGCGGUAGGGGAGACUGGAAUUCCUGGUGUAGCGGUGAAAUGCGCAGAUAUCAGGAGGAACACCGGUGGCGAAGGCGGGUCUCUGGGCCGUAACUGACGCUGAGGAGCGAAAGCGUGGGGAGCGAACAGG